UCAAUAAAUCCUUUCACGGCGGACGUGGCGGAUUCAAGUUUAUCGUAAGGAUGUGCUUGAGGAUGUGCUGCUGCCUACGAUGUUCAACACGUCGUGUGACUACCUGCAUAAUGCUCCCUCCGGAACUCAUGUACUGCAGCUGGAACAACAACAUCGGAUGAAUAGCCAUUUAACGGCGGAUGCCAAGAAUCAAUCAGACACUGCUCGCAAGGAAGCCGGCACCAAGGUUACUCAGUAGGCAUCUGUCGAAUGUGACAACGAGAUCCAUUUAAUCGGAUUAAAU